GUGAACUUGUGCUGCCAUUUUGGCUGGAUGUUAUGUGUGCGCACCUGCAUAUCCAAAACAUUAACGUGUGCAUCAAAGGCGCUCGGUCGCGCGUGCCAUGUCAUCAGGUCGAUCGGGUGUGAGGGUUAGCGAGGAGAAAAAACAGAUCGAAAAAAAGAAGAUGGUCGAUUGGGCAGCGGCCAGAUAACGCCUCCACUGCUUUCUCUUCCCCACAAAGCAAACCCUCACCUCCCAGGUUCACACGCAACCUCCGCUCGUCUCCUUGUUUCUCUCCUCCGCCUCUUCCUCCGGGUGUACUUGCGGCUGCAGCGGGAUGGGAGUAAAGGGGGCGAGCAGGAUGGGUGGCCAGCUGAUUUCUUCGAAGGAUCUGGAGCCCAGGGGCGACGCCGCGGAGGACCGGGAGUGGGGGCGAUGGCCAGGCCUGGUGGUGACGGGACGAUUUAGUGGUCGGAGGCGCUACAUCGGAUGCCAGUCAGUCUGCAACGACUCCAGCGCCAGUGUGCCCCUUGGCACCUCCCGCGCCAAGGGAAUAGAUGUGAAAUGCUCAACUUAGGAGGGAGCAUAGACAAGGAAUCUGAAGUUGGAAAGAAACAACUGGAUAUCAAAGCAAAAGUAUCACGUCUCCUCUUAGAAAUCAGCUAACUAUUCUAAUUCUGGAGACUCUUAUGGCCCUAGAUCUGCCAGGCAGUUGCAAUUGUUGCUUUAGUCAAACUAAAAAAUUGUUAACUUUGCAGUGUAAGCGGACCCUUUAGCAGGAGAGCAACACAACUGCUAGCUUCCCUUACAGGAGAUGGAUACGAAGUCCGUGGAGGGUCAGAAUACAAAGCUCUACUAGGUGAUGGAGCUGGAGAAGUUGAGUACUUCCAGUCUCUUGACGAACGAAUCAUUAAAUGAAGGGAGUUUCUGAUCCUAUUAAAUGUCAUUGCGGACUGGAGUACAAUGUAGAACUAGGCAGGGAUGCCAUGGGUGCAAGAUGAACUCAUUAUAUAGAUGACCACAGGUCCAGUGUGUUUAAAGUAUGCAUAUGUGCGGCUGCCGUAUGUACAGCUUGACAACUCCAUAUAGAGAAACUGGAUAAAGUGCCAGUGCCGCAGGAGCAAAACAGCGCCCCAGAUGAAACCAACACGGAUGACGAUUAACUUCUCUGACCUUAAUCACAUUAAUGAGUGAACUUUCUUGUAAUCCUUUUUCCUGACACUAUAAGGCAAUGGCUUAGCCUGAUAUUUUGGUAGUUGUGUAAGUUGAAACAUGAUGCUAAGCCGAACAAUUUAUUGUCCUUUUUUCGCAUGAUAUCACAUUUUGGUAGUUGUGAAGCCUAAACCAUGAUGCUUUUGCUACUGCUGUAGUCCCUAAUGAAAUUGUGAGAUAAUGUAGUUAAGCUAAGUUUCUUUUGUUUCAAUAAAACAGAUGCUGGUAGUUGCAUAAGUUGAACCAUGAUGCUGGUUAAGCUAAUCUCAUUGAUUGCACUCCCAAAAAUCACAGGAGCCAUUCAGAAAAAGAUUAGUAGAGUUCUUUACUGUUGAAAUUUCUGAGGGGAUUUAUGGAAGAUCACAGGACGAUAUUUCGGGAGUCUAAUGAUCACGGUGCAUUUGAUAUUGAUGGCUUGGGAAAUCAUAUGGCGAUAGGGUCUGAUGAUGUCUGAUGAAGGAAUAGUCACAAGCAGAGAUGGCCUAAAGGCUCUUGGAUACAACUGUUCUUUUAGUAUGCCAUUGACGGACAUAAGUCGAUGUUUUCAGUCAGGAUGAGCUUUGAUUCUAAAUGAUAUUAGAUAUGCACUCAUGUACUUUCUACACGAUUUUUCUUUGGUUUAUUCAGUCUCUUGGGGUGCUCAUAGAAGUAGGGUUGCGUAUGUUCAUACGCUUGUUGUGAGGGUCUUCGUCUGUAUAAGUGUUUCUAAAUAGACUUAAGUUUAUUAAAUUCCAUAUAGG
rnacentral:rRNA from 1 species